rnacentral:rRNA from 1 species
UACGUAAGUGGCGAGCGUUAUCCGGAAUUACUGGGCGUAAAGCGUGCGUAGGCGGUUUAGUGUGUGGGAAUUGAAAGCCCGGGGCUCAACUCCGGAUCCGGUUCCCAAACUCGCUAGACUCGAGCGUAUCAGAGGACAGUGGAAUUCCCGGUGUAGCGGUAAUAUGCGUAGAUAUCGGGAGGAACACCAGUGGCGAAGGCGACUGUCUGGGGUAUUGCUGACGCUGGAGGCACGAAAGCCAGGGAGCGAACGGGG